UACGUAGGGUGCGAGCGUUGUCCGGAAUUAUUGGGCGUAAAGAGCUCGUAGGCGGUUUGUUGCGUCGGCCGUGAAAACCUGCAGCUUAACUGUGGGCCUGCGGCCGAUACGGGCAGACUUGAGUUCGGUAGGGGAGACUGGAAUUCCUGGUGUAGCGGUGAAAUGCGCAGAUAUCAGGAGGAACACCAGUGGCGAAGGCGGGUCUCUGGGCCGAUACUGACGCUGAGGAGCGAAAGCGUGGGGGAGCGAACAGG
rnacentral:rRNA from 1 species